UGGGGAAUUUUGGACAAUGGGCGAAAGCCUGAUCCAGCAAUGCCGCGUGUGUGAAGAAGGCCUUCGGGUUGUAAAGCACUUUUGUCCGGAAAGAAAUCCUUGGCUCUAAUACAGUCGGGGGAUGACGGUACCGGAAGAAUAAGCACCGGCUAACUACGUGCCAGCAGCCGCGGUAAUACGUAGGGUGCAAGCGUUAAUCGGAAUUACUGGGCGUAAAGCGUGCGCAGGCGGUUUGCUAAGACCGAUGUGAAAUCCCCGGGCUCAACCUGGGAACUGCAUUGGUGGCUGGCAGGCUAGAGUAUGGCAGAGGGGGGUAGAAUUCCACGUNUAGCAGUGAAAUGCGUAGAGAUGUGGAGGAAUACCGAUGGCGAAGGCAGCCCCCUGGGCCAAUACUGACGCUCAUGCACGAAAGCGUGGGGAGCAAACAGGAUUAGAUACCCUGGUAGUCCACGCCCUAAACGAUGUCAACUAGUUGUUGGGGAUUCAUUUUCCUUAGUAACGUAGCUAACGCGUGAAGUUGACCGCCUGGGGAGUACGGUCGCAAGAUUAAAAACUCAAAUGAAUUGAC
rnacentral:rRNA from 1 species